rnacentral:rRNA from 1 species
CAGGCCUAACACAUGCAAGUCGAGCGGAAACGGCAGUAUUGAAACUUCGGUGGAUUUACUGGACGUCGAGCGGCGGACGGGUGAGUAACGGCUGGGAACCUGCCCUGACGAGGGGGAUAACCGUUGGAAAUGACGGCUAAUACCGCAUAAUGUCUUGAUUCGUUAGAGUCAGGACCAAAGGUGGCCUCUACAUGUAAGCUAUCGCGUUGGGAUGGGCCCAGUUAGGAUUAGCUAGUUGGUAAGGUAAUGGCUUACCAAGGCAACGAUCCUUAGCUGGUUUGAGAGGAUGAUCAGCCACACUGGGACUGAGACACGGCCCAGACUCCUACGGGAGGCAGCAGUGGGGAAUAUUGCACAAUGGGGGAGACCCUGAUGCAGCCAUGCCGCGUGUGUGAAGAAGGCCUUCGGGUUGUAAAGCACUUUCAGCAGUGAGGAAGGUCGUGUACUUAAUACGUGCACGGCUUGACGUUAGCUGCAGAAGAAGCACCGGCUAACUCCGUGCCAGCAGCCGCGGUAAUACGGAGGGUGCGAGCGUUAAUCGGAAUUACUGGGCGUAAAGCGCAUGCAGGCGGUUUGUUAAGUCAGAUGUGAAAGCCCGGGGCUCAACCUCGGAACCGCAUUUGAAACUGGCAGGCUAGAGUCUUGUAGA